rnacentral:tRNA from 2 species
UAAUUUGGUUUAUAAUAUCUUAAUUGAUGACUAAUUUCGACUUAGUUUUAGCACAAAUAACGAAUGAGU